GCGCGUUCUCAGGGCGGGGUGAAAUUCCCCACCGGCGGUGAUAGCCCGCGAGCGCCUUUCGGUAUCUGCCGGAAGGGUCAAGCAGACACCGGUGAAAUUCCGGGGCCGACGGUUAAAGUCCGGAUGGAAGAGAACCAGC
rnacentral:ncRNA from 2 species